UCGGGAAUUUUGGGCAAUGGGCGAAAGCCUGACCCAGCAACGCCGCGUGAGGGAUGAAGUAUUUCGGUAUGUAAACCUCGAAAGAAUGGGAAGAAUAAAUGACGGUACCAUUUAUAAGCUCCGGCUAACUACGUGCCAGCAGCCGCGGUAAUACGUAGGGAGCAAGCGUGGUUCGGAUUUACUGGGCGUAAAGGGCGCGUAGGCGGCGCGGUAAGUCACUUGUGAAAUCUCUGAGCUUAACCCAGAACGGCCAAGUGAUACUGCUGUGCUUAAGUGCAGAAGAGGCAACCGGAAUUCUUGGUGUAGCGGUGAAAUGCGUAGAUAUCAAGAGGAACACCUGAGGCGAAGGCGGGUUGCUGGACCGACACUGACGCUGAUGCGCGAAAGCCAGGGGAGCAAA
rnacentral:rRNA from 1 species